rnacentral:rRNA from 1 species
AGUGUGGACGCCAGUCUGCAUGGAGCCGACCUUGAAAUACCACCCUUUAAUGUUUGAUGUUCUAACGUGGACCCGUAAUCCGGGUUGCGGACAGUGUCUGGUGGGUAGUUUGACUGGGGCGGUCUCCUCCUAAAGAGUAACGGAGGAGCACGAAGGUUGGCUAAUCCUGGUCGGACAUCAGGAGGUUAGUGCAAUGGCAUAAGCCAGCUUGACUGCGAGCGUGACGGCGCGAGCAGGUGCGAAAGCAGGUCAUAGUGAUCCGGUGGUUCUGAAUGGAAGGGCCAUCGCUCAACGGAUAAAAGGUACUCCGGGGAUAACAGGCUGAUACCGCCCAAGAGUUCAUAUCGACGGCGGUGUUUGGCACCUCGAUGUCGGCUCAUCACAUCCUGGGGCUGAAGUAGGUCCCAAGGGUAUGGCUGUUCGCCAUUUAAAGUGGUACGCGAGCUGGGUUUAGAACGUCGUGAGACAGUUCGGUCCCUAUCUGCCGUGGGCGCUGGAGAACUGAGGGGGGCUGCUCCUAGUACGAGAGGACCGGAGUGGACGCAUCACUGGUGUUCGGGUUGUCAUGCCAAUGGCACUGCCCGGUAGCUAAAUGCGGAAGAGAUAAGUGCUGAAAGCAUCUAAGCACGAAACUUGCCCCGAGAUGAGUUCUCCCUGAGACUUAG